UUUUUUUUUUUUAAUCUGAGGGAUGGAUGUGAUUCUUAACUACAAAUUAGUAACAGAGCAGACUGUUUUAAUUCACAAUAUCUCUUUCACAUAAAACCUUUCCAUGAGUACGUUUACCUUCAGUUUUUCACCAGGUCCUGAAUUCAGCAUGAUACAUUUUUGUGCCUUGAGAUAUUAAAAUGUUCUGACAAGAGGAAAAAAAGCACCAUUCAUUUUUAAAUUUCUGACUGCUACUGUGGACAUUUGUAAGUCUGUGAUGUGAGAUGUAGUCCCUUCUAAAACCUGAUCACACACAAGUGGGCGGUUGUAAUGUUGAUUCAUAUUUUGCAAGGUGAGUUUUCUGUGGAUGCUGAGGUUUUUUGUAGAUUCCACUACUCGUAAUAACACUUGCAGGUUUUCUCCUACUUCUCUUCUUUAAUCUCCGACUACAAACAUUUUGCCAGGAUUGAAGAGUCUUGGAAGUCCAGAUCCACAUGCCACUAGUAAUGCCCACAACUAAUAACAUAAAAAUUUUGACCAUAAAAAUUUCUACUGCUGGGAUAGAGUUAUUCAUCAUGCAGUCUAAAUUUUUAGUCUGAUUGUUCAUCUUGCAUUUCUGUUGAGUUGCCACUAUUUUCCAGUAAUCCAUGUUCAGUCUCUCGUAAAAAUAGCAAGCUAUCACACAAGUGGCAGGCACCGUAUACAGGACUGAGAAGACACCAAUCCUGACCAUAAGUUUCUCCAACUUGUCGGUGUUUUCCCCACCUGUUUUCAUCACCCUCCUGAUAUGAAAAAGGGCCACAAACCCAGAAAGAAUAAAAGAAGUGCCAAUGAUUAGAUAACAAGCCAGAGGAAUGAGCACAAACCCCGUCAAGGCGUUCACAUCCAUGCUGCCGACAUAGCAGAGCCCUGUCAGCUCGUCCCCAGCCACCCUCCUCAUCACCAGGAUCAUGAUGGUCUUCACAGCCGGGAUGGCCCACGCGGCCAGGUGGAAGUAGCUGCUGUUGGCUUCGAUCGCCUCGUGCCCCCACUUCUUCCCGGCCGCCAGAAACCAGGUCAAGGUCAGGAUCACCCACCACAGGGAGCUGGCCAUGCCAAAGUAAUACAGAACCAGGAACACGAUGGUGCAGCCGGUGCUCUCCAGCCCCUCCUGGAUGACAUAGAGCUGGCCGCUGUCCCUGUCACACGCGAUGCUCUCCGCGCCUGAGAAGAGGCGGAUGAUGUAGCCCACCGAGUAGACGCAGUAGCACAUGGACAGGAAGAUAAUGGGUCUCUCGGGGUACUUGAAACGCUGAGGAUCUAUGAGAAAAGUGAGCACAGUGAAAGCGCUGGAGAAGAAGCACAGGAUGGACCAGAUGGCAAUCCAAACGACAGCAAACCGUUUGUCAUCCCUGCUCCAGUAAACAUCAACCCCUGGCGUGCAGAGCGGCGCGCAGGAAGCGCUCUUUUCCACAUGGUGGAACUUGCCAGGAUUUUCGCAGGACGCUCUGCUCAGGCUGUCCUUGUGCUGCUGCAGAUCGUGGCCGCUGCUGGGCCGCUGGGGACGAAACAUGGGUGGCAGCAUGCUGGAGCCCCUGGGUGGCUCGUCCGACCCGUUGUUGGGGGCUUCCAUGCACAGGUAGUUGGGGUCGUUCUUUUUGGGCAGCCUGCUGCAGUCCAAGGAGUCCGGCCACUUAAAAUUGAACUGCUCCAUGAUCGGGGAGCACUUCAGCCUCGCCUGCUCGCACAUCACCCUGCAGGCUGGGAUCGGGGUAGAAACCUGCUCCGUGCACA
ensembl:lncRNA